rnacentral:rRNA from 1 species
UAUUAGUAUAAAAAUAAGAUUGGAGACUACGAGUAAUAACUUAAAAACCCAAGAAUUUGGCGGUGUCUUAUUCAAUCAGGGGGGCCUGUUCAAUAAAUCGACAGUCCACGAAUAAUAUACCUUAUUUUGAAUAUAACAGCAUGUGUACUGCCGUCCUAUAGGCCCUUAUGGUUACCUAUAAAUAAAUAAAUUUAUUUUACGUCAGGUCAAAGUGCAGUUAACAAUAAGGAUGCUAUGGGCUACAGACUAUAACAUAGUCUAAUUAACAAAUUAAAGUUGUUUUAUAGAAGAACUUGAUAGUAAUUAUAUUAAUAUUAUAAUGAAAUUGAACUUAAGAUAAGC